CGCCUCUUGUUUCUCCUAUAUAAGAGGUCCUGCCUGCCCAGUGACAUAUUGUUAAACGGCCGCGGUAUCAUGACCGUGCAAAGGUAGCGUAAUCACUUGUCUUCUAAAUAAAGACCGGUAUGAAUGGCAAAACGAGAGUUCAACUGUCUCCUUUAACCAAUCAGUGAAAUUGAUCUUUCCGUGCAGAAGCGGAAAUUUAAAUAUAAGACGAGAAGACCCUAUGGAGCUUAAAACAUAAACCAUUUAUAAAAUAAUAUACCAAAAGGCUAAUAAUUAACAUAAAUUCUGGUUAAAAUUUUAGGUUGGGGCGACCACGGAAUAAAAUAAAACUUCCGAGAUGAAAUUAUAAUUCAAGGGUAACAACCCUAAAAAAUAAAACAUUUAACAUAAUUGAUCCAAUAUUUUGAUCAACGGACCAAGUUACCCUAGGGAUAACAGCGCAAUCCUUUCCAAGAGUUCUUAUCGACGAAUGGGUUUACGACCUCGAUGUUGGAUCAGGACAUCCUAAUGGUGCAGCUGCUAUUAAGGGUUCGUUUGUUCAACGAUUAAAGUCCC
rnacentral:rRNA from 1 species